rnacentral:rRNA from 1 species
GACGAACCGUCCUAACGUUGUUCGGAAUCACUGGGCUUAAAGGGCGCGUAGGCGGAUGAGCAAGUCCGGGGUGAAAUCUUUCGGCUUAACCGGAAAAGUGCCUUGGAUACUGCUCGUCUUGAGGGAGGUAGGGGCAUGUGGAACUUCUGGUGGAGCGGUGAAAUGCGUUGAUAUCAGAAGGAACGCCGGUGGCGAAAGCGACGUGCUGGCCCUCUUCUGACGCUGAGGCGCGAAAGCUAGGGGAGCAAACGGG